rnacentral:rRNA from 15 species
UAGGCACGGCAGGAAAGCUAUGUUAGUUAAGAUAAGUGCUGAAUGCAUUUAGGCACGAAGCUUACCUUAGGAUACUCUUAGAAACGUAGUAUAACAUUACGAAUCCACAUCUCGCUAUCGUUAAGGCUAGUAAACUAGUUUAACAGAGCAGACGGAUAAUAGGCUUUGGCUGAAAG